CAAGUUCUUGUCUGACAAGUAGCUUACUGAUUUGGAGCAUGAUAACUGAUACAACUUUCAACAACGGAUCUCUUGGCUCUCACAUCGAUGAAGAACAUAGCAAAGUGUGAAAAGUAGUGUGAAUUGCAGAAUUCAGUGAAUCAUCGAGUUUUUGAACGCAUCUUGCACUUCUUGGUAUUCCAAGGAGUAUGUCUGGUUGAGUAAUGUGAAUAUCUAAUCAAACACUCUUGUGUUUGGAACUGAGUGAGUUGCCUUGUCUCUUGCGAGACGAGGCUCACUUGAAAUGCAAGGGGACAAGACUUUCUGUGGAGACUCGCGUUUUUGUCCUAUCUACCAAUGACUUGAU
rnacentral:rRNA from 1 species